rnacentral:rRNA from 1 species
GACGAACGCUGGCGGCGUGCUUAACACAUGCAAGUCGAACGGAAAGGCCCUGCUUUUGUGGGGUGCUCGAGUGGCGAACGGGUGAGUAACACGUGAGUAACCUGCCCUUGACUUUGGGAUAACUUCAGGAAACUGGGGCUAAUACCGGAUAGGAGCUCCUGCUGCAUGGUGGGGGUUGGAAAGUUUCGGCGGUUGGGGAUGGACUCGCGGCUUAUCAGCUUGUUGGUGGGGUAGUGGCUUACCAAGGCUUUGACAGGUAGCCGGCCUGAGAGGGUGACCGGCCACAUUGGGACUGAGAUACGGCCCAGACUCCUACGGGACGCAGCAGUGGGGAAUAUUGCACAAUGGGCGGAAGCCUGAUGCAGCAACGCCGCGUGCGGGAUGACGGCCUUCGGGUUGUAAACCGCUUUCGCCUGUGACGAAGCGUGAGUGACGGUAAUGGGUAAAGAAGCACCGGCUAACUACGUG